GACUACUGGGGUAUCUAAUCCUGUUUGCUCCCCACGCUUUCGUGCCUCAACGUCAGAAGUAGCUUGGUAAGCUGCCUUCGCAAUCGGUGUUCUGUAUGAUCUCUAAGCAUUUCACCGCUACACCAUACAUUCCGCCUACCGCAACUACUCUCUAGCCGAACAGUAUCAGAGGCAAUUCCGAAGUUGAGCCUCGGGAUUUCACCUCUAACUUAUCCGACCGCCUACGCACCCUUUAAACCCAAUAAAUCCGGAUAACGCUUGAAUCCUCCGUAUUACCGCGGCUGCUGGCACGGAGUUAGCCGAUCCUUAUUCGUACGAUACUUUCAGACAGAUACGCGUAUCUGCGUUUACCCUCGUACAAAAGCAGUUUACAACUCAUAGAGCCGUCUUCCUGCACGCGGCAUGGCUGGUUCAGACUUGCGUCCAUUGACCAAUAUUCCUCACUGCUGCCACCCGUAGG
rnacentral:rRNA from 1 species